CCUACGGGUGGCAGCAGUGAGGAAUAUUGGUCAAUGGACGAGAGUCUGAACCAGCCAAGUAGCGUGAAGGAUGACGGCCCUAUGGGUUGUAAACUUCUUUUGUAGGGGAAUAAACUGUGACACGUGUGCCUUUCUGUAUGUACCCUAUGAAUAAGGAUCGGCUAACUCCGUGCCAGCAGCCGCGGUAAUACGGAGGAUCCGAGCGUUAUCCGGAUUUAUUGGGUUUAAAGGGUGCGUAGGUGGUGUGUUAAGUUAGUUGUGAAAGUUUGCGGCUCAACCGCGAAAUUGCCGUUGAAACUGGCAGUCUUGAGUGCAGUAGAGGUGGGCGGAAUGCGUGGUGUAGCGGUGAAAUGCUUAGAUAUCACGAAGAACACCGAUUGCGAAGGCAGCUCACCGGACUGCAACUGACGCUGAGGCACGAAAGUGUGGGUAUCAAACAGGAUUAGAUACCCUUGUAGUC
rnacentral:rRNA from 1 species